rnacentral:rRNA from 1 species
GAUGAACGCUGGCGGCGUGCCUAAUACAUGCAAGUCGAGCGAACGGACGAGAAGCUUGCUUCUCUGAUGUUAGCGGCGGACGGGUGAGUAACACGUGGAUAACCUACCUAUAAGACUGGGAUAACCUCGGGAAACCGGAGCUAAUACCGGAUGAUAUUUUGAACCGCAUGGUUCAAAAGUGAAAGACGGUCUUGCUGUCACUUAUAGAUGGAUCCGCGCUGCAUUAGCUAGUUGGUAAGGUAACGGCUUACCAAGGCAACGAUGCAUAGCCGACCUGAGAGGGUGAUCGGCCACACUGGAACUGAGACACGGCCCAGACUCCUACGGGAGGCAGCAGUAGGGAAUCUUCCGCAAUGGGCGAAAGCCUGACGGAGCAACGCCGCGUGAGUGAUGAAGGUCUUCGGAUCGUAAAACUCUGUUAUUAGGGAAGAACAUAUGUGUAAGUAACUGUGCACAUCUUGACGGUACCUAAUCAGAAAGCCACGGCUAACUACGUG